rnacentral:rRNA from 1 species
UCAGGCCUAACACAUGCAAGUCGAACUAGCUCUAGCGCAAGUUAGAGUGGGUGGCGGACGGGUGAGGAACGCGUAAGAACCUACCCCUAGGAGGAGGAUAACUGCUGGAAACGGCAGCUAAUACUCCAUAUGCUGAGGAGCAAAAGGUCGAAAGACCGCCAAGGGAUGGGCUUGCGUCUGAUUAGCUAGUUGGUGAGGUAAAUGCUUACCAAGGCGACGAUCAGUAGCUGGUCUGAGAGGAUGAUCAGCCACACUGGGACUGAGACACGGCCCAGACUCCUACGGGAGGCAGCAGUGAGGAAUUU